GCCCAGGCACCCGCGUCGGGUGCGGCCCCGUACGAGCUGGGUUCUCUGCCUUCGCUGCGUGUCGGCACCUCUGCCAAGGCGGAGCGGACGGCGGAAGCUAGACCCAGCGCAUCUCCAGCCUCACGAGGCUCACGCGGUCGUCCGUGGGCCAUAGUCGUCUGUCUCCAUCUGUGGCCGAAGUGACACACCGAAGCGAGUAAAAAGCUAAUUCUUAGAACAGUGUGAUGCACCCGGCCCUCCGUUGGCUUCCCGUGCCCUUUGUAGCUAAAUUUGGAAAAUCCUGAGUUUCUCAAAGUCCAAGAACUUUAUAAUGUGCACUGCUAGGCUAACACCUUUACAACGAAUGGCCCCAGCUUCCCUGAAUCGGAAUGUGAAAAAGACACUCUGAAAACCAAGGCUAAGGGUUCUGUUCUUUCUUUCAGGUGUUAAAAUGGUGGCAUCUUUUUAUUGCGCGAGGGAAAACGCAACAACAAUAAUAAAACACUCCUCCCAAAUCCUGAACAUUCAGUUAUGUCCAGAAAAUUAGGAUGAAGAUAGGACUUUGCUUUACCGCUCUGUACUGCGUUCGGGUUUUUUGUUUGUUCGGUUUGGUGUUUGGUUUUUGGUUUAGUUUGGUUUGUUUGUUUUCCAGAAAGGCCGAAAGCCAUCGUGACGUCGAGGCACAAGCUCCACUGUCCAAACAGUAGAGGUCGCAUGGAGUUCGUGAGACCGGCAUUAGCUGCCGCUGGAGCUGUACCCAGCCCACCGUAUUUUCACAGAUUAGCCAGACAGCCUUCUAUUCGCAUCACUACUGGUCCUGGUCAGCCAUAAGAUCCUUCCUGUCAGGGACUUUUCUUUGAACUAGGAUGUAAUUAACGGGAUUCUUUCCCCCUUUUAAGUUACCCUUGGUUUCUACGAGGGAUAACAGCUUCCUGUGGGGAUUUUCAGAUACAAGCAAACAAAACACUGCAUAACUCUGUGUGCAGCCCUUACCCGGAUGUGUACAGCUUUAGGGUGUGCUGGAGGAACAGAAUAUCCAAAUGACCUCCUUGGAAAACAACGGUUAAGGAGCACUGGGACUCUGGCAGGACGUGGGUUCUCUCCGACCCCUUUAUUCCCCCAUGCCCGCUGCCCCACAUGUGUGUACACAUGUGCUUCUGUUUGUGAGCACGCAAGAGUUCAUUAUAGAGGGCAUCUCCCUUACCUGUUGUCUCUCUUUGAUUUAAAAAAAAAUCUAUUCAAGCAUAAGU